rnacentral:rRNA from 1 species
CGUAAUAGCUCACUGAUCGAGUCGUCCUGCGCGGAAGAUGUAACGGGGCUAAGCCAUGCACCGAAGCUUAGGCUGCACUCUCUGAGUGCGGGGUAGGGGAGCGUUCUGUAAGCCUGUGAAGGUGUCUCGUAAGGGAUGCUGGAGGUAUCAGAAGUGCGAAUGCUGACAUGAGUAGCGUUAAAGCGGGUGAAAAGCCCGCUCGCCGUAAGCGCAAGGUUUCCUACGCAACGUUCAUCGGCGUAGGGUGAGUCGGCCCCUAAGGUGAGGGCGAAAGCCAUAGCUGAUGGGAAGCUGGUUAAUAUUCCAGCACCGAUUUCUAGUGCGAUGGGGGGACGGAUCGUGGAAGGUUGUCCGGGUGUUGGAAGUCCCGGUUCCUGACCUGUAGGUGUCUGGUAGGUAAAUCCGCCAGGCAUAUGCCGAGGGGUUGGGACGAGCGAGCUUGCUCGCGAAGCAACUGGAAGUGGUUCCAAGAAAAGCCUCUAAGCUUCAGCUAGAAACGACCGUACCGCAAACCAACACUGGUGCGCGAGAUGAGUAUUCUCAGGCGCUUGAGAGAACUCGGGAGAAGGAACUCGGCAAAUUGACACCGUAACUUCGGAAGAAGGUGUGCCUUGGUAGCUUGAGUGUGAACAACACAAGGGCGAAGAGGUUGCAAAGAAUAGGUGGCUGCGACUGUUUAUUAAAAACACAGCACUCUGCAAACACGAAAGUGGACGUAUAGGGUGUGACGCCUGCCCGGUGCCGGAAGGUUAAGUGAUGGGGUGCAAGCUCUUGAUCGAAGCCCCGGUAAACGGCGGCCGUAACUAUAACGGUCCUAAGGUAGCGAAAUUCCUUGUCGGGUAAGUUCCGACCUGCACGAAUGGCGUAACGAUGGCCACACUGUCUCCUCCCGAGACUCAGCGAAGUUGAAAUGUUUGUGAUGAUGCAAUCUCCCCGCAGCUAGACGGAAAGACCCCAUGAACCUUUACUGUAGCUUUGCAUUGGAUUGCGAACCGACUUGUGUAGGAUAGGUGGGAGGCUUUGAAGUCAGGACGCCAGUCUUGAUGGAGCCAUCCUUGAAAUACCACCCUGGUUUGUUCGCGGUUCUAACCUAGGCCCGUCAUCCGGGCCGGAGACAGUGCAUGGUGGGCAGUUUGACUGGGGCGGUCUCCUCCUAAAGAGUAACGGAGGAGUUCGAAGGUACGCUUGGUACGGUCGGACAUCGUGCCUAAAGUGCAAUGGCAAAAGCGUGCUUAACUGCGAGACUGACAAGUCGAGCAGGUGCGAAAGCAGGACAUAGUGAUCCGGUGGUUCUGUAUGGAAGGGCCAUCGCUCAACGGAUAAAAGGUACUCUGGGGAUAACAGGCUGAUACCGCCCAAGAGUUCAUAUCGACGGCGGUGUUUGGCACCUCGAUGUCGGCUCAUCUCAUCCUGGGGCUGUAGCCGGUCCCAAGGGUAUGGCUGUUCGCCAUUUAAAGAGGUACGUGAGCUGGGUUUAAAACGUCGUGAGACAGUUUGGUCCCUAUCUGCUGUGGGCGUUGGAGAUUUGACGGGGGCUGCUCCUAGUACGAGAGGACCGGAGUGGACACACCUCUGGUGUACCUGUUGUCACGCCAGUGGCAUCGCAGGGUAGCUAAGUGUGGAAGAGAUAACCGCUGAAAGCAUCUAAGCGGGAAACUUGCCUGAAGAUGAGAUCUCCCUGGGGACUCGAUCCCCCUGAAGGGUCGUCCAAGACCAGGACGUUGAUAGGCCGGGUGUGGAAGCGCAGUAAUGCGUGAAGCUAACCGGUACUAAUUGCCCGUGAGGCUUGACC